CAAAAUUAUAGUAGUUUUUAAAUAUUUUUAAGAUGAUCUGAUUCUGCAACGAUAUGGAUAUGAUUCUCUCCGGAACUCCACCGAUGCUCCACCCAUGUGGGCUUUUCAUCAUCUGUCGAGCACCAAACCGGCCCACCCACUCUCUUACAUCCUUUUCCUUCCAUUCAGUAGGGGAGAUUGGAUUGGUUUGUGACCUGUGACGUUUGGAUCUGGUUUUGGUGCCUCUUUCUGAUUUGAUUUGGUGUCUGUGGCGUUUGGAUCUUCCUAGCUAAAGCUACUACAAGCCUACAACAAUUUUCACUUGUAAGUUCCCUAAGACAAUUUUCGAUUAAUCUUGCAAUUUAAUUUCAAUUUAAAGAAAUAUUGUUGGAAUUGAAUUGAUGGGCUUUCAGUGAGGCUAAAUUUAUGAGAAAUUGGAGUUACCUAAUUUUGAUUAUAGAAAAAUUGUAUUUCUAUGCAAAUGUAUAACAAUGGUUGUGGGUUUCAUGAUAUAAGGCCGACUAGUCUAUGUGAAAAAAUCUCAUUCUAUCAUUACAACAUUGUAUGGCCCCAAAUGGCCAUUGUUGAAACCCUUGAUCCAAAUAAUCCAAUCAAACAGCAAAAGAAUUGCUAUGCUCACUUUUUAUAAAAAUCUGAAUGCAUAUUGUUUUGCUAUGGCCAAGUCUGUUUGCGAAAUCCUAAAUUUCAUAUUGUGAUGUGAAUUUAUUUUAAUUUUCAAAAUAACUACUUUGCACUUGCUAAUAGCCUAAUACUUUUUAAGUAGUUUACAAUAUUCAUUAUUGCAUUAAUCAAAAUCAAAUAAAGUCACGUCAAUUUUGAAUUAUAGGAUUUUUUAAAUUGAUAGAAAAAAAUCAAAUGGGAAUCUUUUUUUGUGGAACAGAGGGAGUAUAUCUGUACUGCUGUACAGAAUUCAUGAGAGAUGUGAUUGGAGAAAAUCCUAAGGAUGACUGAAGUAUUUGGUGAACAUAAGAUGAUCAAGUUUGAGUAAUGAAUUUAGUAAUAUCCCGAAUGAGCUUUGAGUUUAUGAACAACAACACAGUGACAAAAAAUGAUGACAAAAGAAGUAGCAUGAAAUGGAAAGGGGAAAGUUUUGAUUUUGAGGCAUACAUGGACUAGAAACGGACAGUGAUCAAGAGAUGGGAGUUGGAAUCAAGAAAAAAACUUUAAUUUCUGUGCAGAGUUGAAUUGGUCUACCAAAACCUUUUGAUCACAGGAUAUAGAUGAUGGAUUUACAUCAAUAUCUAUGCAUUCAGAUUUUUAUUUAUACUUGCUGAUUUAAUUUGCUCAGCUUUCACAAUUUGUUAAUUUAAUCAGUUUUUAAUUUACUCUUUCAAUCUUACUACUUUACAACAGUUUGUUAAUUUAAUUAGUUUAUCAUUUACACUAGAUGCUUACUGCUUUACUGCUAUGCAG
rnacentral:lncRNA from 1 species